CAACACGUGCAAAAAUGGCUGGCAUCAUGAGAACUUAUGAUGAGGUUGAAGACAUUGGGAUUCGAAGGGAAUGUGUUCUGAAAGGGCUCAUCACCUUUCUUGGAGAGGAUGCAAAAGACCUUAUUAAGGAAUACUGUAGCAGCAGCGGAGAUGAUGCCCAGAUGGAACUCAAACAACUCACCAUGGCCGUGUUUGUGAUUCGGAAGGAGGGAGAGGGAUUGAAAGAAC